CAAUAGUCGAAAGACUGAACCAGCAACUUGGAGGAAUGUAAAGUGAAAGCUUGUUGUGCUAAUGAAAGUACAAUAUUAAUAUUAUUAAAUAAAGUUCUGGAUAUACUAUGAUUAUGACAUUAUAUAUCCACAGGUCUUGACCAAGUCACGUGCCAGCAGUCGCGGUAAUACGUGGUAGACAAGUGUUAUUCAUCUUUAAUUGGUUUAAAGGGUACGUAGACGGUUAACCAAGCCUAUGAAAAUAGGGUACUAGUUAUACUAGAGUUUUAUGUGAGAAGAGCAGUACGGUGAGUGUAGAGAUAAAAUGUUUUGAUACCACUUAGAGACUGAUAAAGGCGAAAGCAGCCUUUUAUGUAAAACUGACGUUGAGGGACGAAGGCUCAAUUAAAUAACAGGAUUAGGUACCCUAGUAUUGUGGGCAGACAAUGAUGAAUGUCAUAUGUAAGAUAUUUAAAAAUAGUAUUAUCUCUAGAUAUUUUAUAUAUAUGUAAGAUAUUUAAAAAUAGUAUUAUCCCUAAAUUUUAUAUAUAAAUGAAAGUGUAAACAUUCCACCUCAAGAGUAAUAUGGCAACAUAUAAAUUGAAAUCAUUAGACCGUUUCUGAGAACAGUAGUGAAGUAUGUUGUUUAAUUUGAUGAUCCACAAAAAACCUUACCACAAUUUGAAUGUUAAAAUCACAAGCGUUGCACGGCUGUCUUCAGUUAAUGUCGUGAGACUUUGGUUAGCUCCAUUAAAUUAACGUAAACCCUUGCUUUAUUUUCUAAUAUAAAGCAGUUCGUCGCUAUAUUUGUAUUUGAUAUAAGGGACCAAGACAAGUCAUCAUGACCUAAAUUUGU
rnacentral:rRNA from 1 species